rnacentral:lncRNA from 1 species
AAAAAAAAAGUACUAAUACCCUUGAAAUAAUAACACUCCAAAAAUAAAAACAAAAAGGUAGGAGAAUUUGUUGACAAAAAAAACCAAAAAUAGAAAUAAAACCUUUCAAUGUUUUGAGGAGUUUCGCUCGCAGCUUGGGCUUUUCACGGCAAUGAUUCCAGUGAUGACUGUGACAAUCAAGGUUGAACAACUGAUAGUGAAGACCAUCGUGCAAUAGGAGCAAUGAUUGCCGGUCGAAAAAGCAGACCUCUGCCACUCUCUCUCCCAGUCUCUCUCGUCCGCAAACAAAAUACCGAUUGAUGGAUUGGAUUAGUUGUUUGGUUUGAGCAAGAUAGUGGCUUUGAUUUUAUGUGAAUAGUAAAGAAAUCGAAGAGAGAAAUCAGAGAUUUGAGAGAGAAAUGUGAUUUCAAGUGAUGAGCAAAGAAAUUGAAUAAGAGAAGAUUAGGGUUCGUUCGGUAUCGUUUUAUAAGAAGUAUUUUCAUUUUCGUCUCUUAAUUCAAGUGUAAUCCAUGAACAAAUUAUAAGUAAACUAUUAAACACGUAAAAUAAGAAGAGUUCUGUUAUUUGCCCCGGGUCAAACCUCGAAAGUAAUAAAGGAACUACGUCGUUUCAAUCUUUUUUUUUCCCUCUCAUUCAAGCUAAACGACGUCGUUUUGGUAAAAUUGUUACAGCCGAAAUUGGUUUCUCUAUGUCUUCC